rnacentral:rRNA from 1 species
GACGAACGCUGGCGGCGUGCUUAACACAUGCAAGUCGAACGGAAAGGCCCUGCUUUUGUGGGGUGCUCGAGUGGCGAACGGGUGAGUAACACGUGAGUAACCUGCCCUUGACUUUGGGAUAACUUCAGGAAACUGGGGCUAAUACCGGAUAGGAGCUCCUGCUGCAUGGUGGGGGUUGGAAAGUUUCGGCGGUUGGGGAUGGACUCGCGGCUUAUCCGCUUGUUGGUCGGGUAGUGGCUGACCAAGGGUUUGACGGGUAGCCGGCCUGGGAGGGUGACCGGGCUCAUGGGGACUGCGGGACGGACCAGACGGCUACGUGCGGCAGCAGGGGAGAGUAUUACACAGUAGGGGGGCGUGUGAUGCGGCAACCCCGCGUGCGGGAAGACGGGCUUCGGGUUGUGAACCGCUUUCGACUGUGACGAGGCGUGAGUGACGGUAAUGGGUAAAGAAGCACCGGCUAACUACGUG